UACGUAGGGUGCAAGCGUUAAUCGGAAUUACUGGGCGUAAAGCGUGCGUAGACGGUUAUUUAAGUCGGGUGUGAAAGCCCCGGGCUCAACCUGGGAAUUGCAUUCGAGACUGAAUAGCUAGGGUACGGUAGAGGGAAGCGGAAUUUCCGGUGUAGCGGUUGAAAUGCGUAGAUAUCGGAAGGAACAUCAGUGGCGAAAGCGGCUUCCUGGACCAGUACCGACGUUCAGGCACGAAAGCGUGGGGAGCAAACAGG
rnacentral:rRNA from 1 species